UACGUAGGGCGCAAGGCGUUAUCCGGAAUUAUUGGGCGUAAAGAGCUCGUAGGCGGUUUGUCGCGUCUGCCGUGAAAGUCCGGGGCUCAACUCCGGAUCUGCGGUGGGUACGGGCAGACUAGAGUGGAUGUAGGGGAGACUGGAAUUCCUGGUGUAGCGGUGAAAUGCGCAGAUAUCAGGAGGAACACCGAUGGCGAAGGCAGGUCUCUGGGCAUUAACUGACGCUGAGGAGCGAAAGCAUGGGGAGCGAACAGG
rnacentral:rRNA from 1 species